CCGCAGCUCGCAGGCCUGGGAAUGAGGACGGUUCCCACCGAGCGGUGUGCUGAGCUGUGUGGGCAUGGCUGUCAUUUAAGCCAGUUUCUAAAUCAUAGGCAGUUUUUAAUCAGCCAUGAAGAGGACACUUGAUCAAGCAGAGCCGGCAGAGGAAAAACAGAGGCUGAACUGGGGGAGGCUGCCAUGGAGGAGAUGAUCAGCAAAACUAGACCAUUCAACUGCCGUGAAUGAGAAUAACUGCCGUCCUCACAUUUAUCUCACCCUCUCUCCUUCCUUUGGGGGCUUGCUUUCAAUGUGAGCAAACUUCCAAAGUCAAGAAAUUGUCAACUAUGUACCCACCUGGCCAAAGGAGACAACAGCUCAAUCUGAAGCCAUCUUAGCAGGACAGCCCUUAUUAAAUUCAUAGGUUCUUGCUAAACAGUGCCAAUUGUACUGUGCCUACAUUUUCAUCCACUGUGACUGAAGAAGGCUCACACAAAGCCUCUGAUACAAAUACCUUAAACUAUCCCAAACCAAAGUUAGGCAAACAACACUUCCUUAUUUCUACACUGCUUCAAUUGCCUCAUGCAUUAAAUUCUCUCCAACAUGAU